rnacentral:rRNA from 1 species
ACGGGACCCGCACAAGCGGUGGAUGAUGUGGUUUAAUUCGAUGCAACGCGAAAACCUUACCACCUUUGACAUGUCCGGAAUCCCGAAGAGAUUCGGGAGUGCUCGCAAGAGAACCGGAACACAGGUGCUGCAUGGGCUGUCGUCAGCUCGUGUCGUGAGAUGUUGGGUUAAGUCCCGCAACGAGCGCAACCCUUGUCAUUAGUUGCCAUCAUUCAGUUGGGCACUCUAGCGAGACUGCCGGUAAUAAACCGGAGGAAGGUGGGGAUGACGUCAAAUCAUCAUGCCCCUUAUGACCUGGGCUACACACGUGCUACAAUGGUUGGUACAACGAGUUGCGAGUCGGUGACGGCGAGCUAAUCUCUUAAAGCCAAUCUCAGUUCGGAUUGUAGGCUGCAACUCGCCUACAUGAAGUCGGAAUCGCUAGUAAUCGCGGAUCAGCACGCCGCGGUGAAUACGUUCCCGGGCCUU